UAAAUGUUGGAUGCAGAAGUGAUUUCGACUUGAGAAGCUUGAUGAAAUUCAUGUAAAAUGUUUAUACCAUAUGUAUGUUGAUUCGACGUUCGGAAACCUGAUAAUUCAUCCUGAACGAGUUCUAUUUCAAAUAUUUGUUAUUGUUAUAAUAUUCUUCGGAAGGCAGUAGCGACUUGCUCUAGUUUAGUAUGUUACGUUUCAAGUCCACACACUGCAAACAAGUUUCAAGGAAAACCGUUUCUAAUUAAUCGUCAAAUUGCAACUGUCUUCGUUACAGUUAACAUCUGCAAUGUCGCGUUUCCUUUGGCCAGAACACACUCAGAAAGAAAGACAACCUAACAUUUCUCCAUCAUAAACACACAGGAUCUUUCAGCAUGCAUUUGCUUUGCAGUAUGUUUGCAUUACGUGGAAAAUGAUAUUUGCAUUGAUAAAAUACUUAAGGUUAAAUAAGUAGAGAUAUGUUAUAAAGAAGGUGUCGUGUUAUCAUUCUGUGCCAGUCUUCAUAAAUAGAUGUUUUUAAUAGGAGAUAAAUGGUAACAAAGUUACUGAAGCAGAAAUGAAUGUUGUUAUUCAUUUCUGCAAAUUAACGAAAGAAAUGACAGUGCAGUUCUAAUGUAUGCUUACAAUGCCCUUGCAUGAGGCUGUGUAACAUAUGUAUUAGACGAGUAAAGCAUAGCAUAUCGACGUCGUUAUUGUUAUUGUGUAUGAGGGUGUAAGCCUAUGAUCAGUUGUGCGCGACUGUUUCAGUUUUACUGGUAAUAUCGUGUCUGUACGUGAACAUUCUGCAAUAAUUUGCAUACAUUCUACAUAGCUGAUGGCGUUUGAUGGCCCCAGGAGGUUCUAAUGUCCAUGCAUAAAUGCAACUAUUCGGAUACUUUGUCAUGGUUUAAUCUGGCUACAGAGUCAGCUGGUUUUGAAACGUUUAUCUCAUGGCCAUGCAGAUUAGAAUUCAGAGACAUUACCAAAUGUUUCAAGAUUUAUUUGAGAAGUCAGAAUCUCAGUGGUUCAGAACAACCAAUCGCGAUAUUUCAGAAGUAACAAUCAUAUUCCUUUCCAUGGUUUAACAGUAUUUUUAUAUUUCACUAUUUUGUUGAAGUUACAGCAUCCCCGUUCUCUGUAUCCAUGGUUACACAUAAUCCAUUUAUAUCUCUCUCGAUGAUUUAGCACCCCUUGUAUCUAUGUCCAUGGAUACACGAAGUCCACGUCUAUCUCUCUUGAUGGAUAGCAUCCGUUAUAUCUGUGUCCAUGGUUACACAAAGUCCACCUCUAUCUCCCUCGAUGGUUUAGCAUCCCUUAUAUCUGUGUCCAUGGAUACACAAAGUCCACCUCUAUCUCCCUCGAUGGUUUAGCAUCCCUUAUAUCUGUGUCCAUGGAUACACAGAGUUCACCUCUAUCUCCCUCGAUGGUUUAGCAUCCCUUAUAUCUGUGUCCAUGGAUACACAAAGUCCACCGCUAUCUCUCUCGAUGGUUUAGCAUCCCUUAUAUCAGUGUUCAUGGAUACACAAAGUCCACCUCUAUCUCUCUCGAUGGUUUAGCAUCCCUUAUAUCUACGUCCAUAGAUACACAAAGUCCACCUCUAUCUCUCUCGAUGGUUUAGCAUCCCUAACAUCUGUGUCCAUGGAUACACAAAUCCACCUCUAUCUCUCGAUGGUUUUAGCAUCCCUAACAUCUGUGUCCAUGGAUACACAAAGUCCACCUCUAUCUCUCUCGAUUGUUUAGCACCCCUUAUAUCUGUGUCCAUGGAUA